rnacentral:rRNA from 1 species
AUGUGCGUGUGGUGGCUAGUUUGGGGAUUAUGGUUGGUAAGACGGAGAAAGUGGAUAUGGCGUUCACUAGAGCUCAGGGGGUGGCUCGACUGCGAGUUAGCAUUCUGGAUAUUGAGUAUGUCCCGGACGUCAUCAACUGGACCUAUAGAGGCGAGGUGUUUCCACUUGAUAUUGAGUUUGAGGAUGCAGAGUUGUUUGCUGAGGUUGCUGCUGGCACUGACGUGGAUAUGCACGAUGGGGGUGAUGAUACAGGUGCUCCCAGGGAGCAGGCGGAUGAGGCAGCACAGGAGCCCAAUGGAUCGGGGCCUGCUGCUCGGGAGCCGGAGAACGGAGCCGGGAUGGAGCAGUCCCCGGCUUCGUCUUUGCCUCAUAACUCACUGCGGUUUGGAUCUUUUCUGCCGUCGUCGGCGCCUCCUCGUCUGUGGAGUGAUCGGGUUGAAUCUGACGAUGCGUUCGAGCAUUCGCUGCCGGUCUUGGACUUUGGGCGGUCACCCCGGCAGUCGGCCAGCUUCAGUGCCCGUGUUGUUCAAGAGGUGGAGCCUCAGGAGUCGCCAGGGCGAUCUAGGUCUUCGGUUUCCUCGCGGAGGGGAGGGGCGUCUGGGCAGGUGGCCACGACUCCCUCUCAUUCUUCUGUUUCACAGCAGGCGGCGCAGGUACCUGUGUCCAGCCGGGGCGACAUAUCUUUGGGGCAGGAGGCCCUGGAGGUCCGUCUCGCGGGAGCCUCGUUGGUGGUGGGGUCGCCGGAGGUCCUGCAGGUGGAGCGCACGCCUGCUACGGCGUCGGCUGGGGGGGGUCGGACUAGGGCAGGAGGCCCUGGUGCCAACUCCGUCAGGCAUCUCCACAUCUCCUACGCGGUCCCCCUCUCCCAGACCUACUCCGGGAGCCGCUACUCGGGAGGAGGUGAUCGCGUUCGGAGGGAUCCGAGACCCUGCUUCCGAGGGGAGGCGGACGAGCUCUCGUCUCCAGGACCUUCCGGAGGUUGAUGAUUUGCAGCAGAGGUGCGCUAUGCGGGCGGCCAAGCUGCGUGAUGUGGAGAGCACAACAGGUUAUCUUCCGUGCAACGGCUCUUAUCCGUUCCUGGUCGCUACUCACUCCGACGGAGGCCAGGGAGCUUUUGGUUACUGCUGCUAUCCGAUGGGAGAUGGUAGCUCGGGAUAUAUUCAGCCGGUUUGGAUGGCGGUCGUGUAA